rnacentral:rRNA from 1 species
UACAGAGGUCUCAAGCGUUGUUCGGAUUCAUUGGGCGUAAAGGGCGCGUAGGCGGCAAGGCAAGUCGGGUGUGAAAGCUUGGGGCUUAACCCCGAAAGGGCACUCGAAACUGCGUUGCUAGAGGGCCGGAGAGGAGAUCGGAAUUCACGGUGUAGCAGUGAAAUGCGUAGAGCUCGUGAGGAAGACCGGUGGCGAAGGCGGAUCUCUGGACGGUCCCUGACGCUGAGGCGCGAAGGCUAGGGGAGCAAACGGG